rnacentral:rRNA from 1 species
GAUGAACGCUGGCGGCGUGCCUAAUACAUGCAAGUCGAGCGAAGCGGGGAAGGGUGAGUAACACGUGGAUAACCUCCUAUAAGACUGGGAUACAUUCGGGAAACCGGAGCUAAACCGGAUACUUAGAGAUGGAUCCGCGCUGCAUUAGAUAGUUGGUAAGGUAACGGCUUACCAAGGCAAAGAGGCAUAGCCGACCUGAGAGGGUGAGCGGCCACACUGGAACUGAGACACGGUCCAGACUCCUACGGGAGGCAGCAAGAGGGAAGCUUCCGCAAUGGGCGAAAGCCUGACGGAGCAACGCCGCGUGAGUGAUUAAGGUCUUCGGAUCGUAAAACGCUGUUAUUAGGGAAGCGGUACCUAAUCAGAAAGCCACGGCUAACUACGUGCCAGCCGCCGCGGUAAUUC